GCUCUGAUACCACAGUUAGAGAACGUUACGGUUUCAUACGUGUAGUUCAAAAUUUUUUUCUAAAUAUCUAUACAGUGAAAAUAAAUUGAAAUAAUUUUAAUUUAUAUAUACCAGAUCAGAUCUAAAAAUUAUAGCAUGGAUCUUGAUACGAACAUGUACCUAUAAUCUGAUAUCUAAAACAGAAAAAUAAACUGUUAAAAAAAAUAAAAUAGAGAUCAGAUCUCCAUACCUC
rnacentral:lncRNA from 1 species